rnacentral:rRNA from 1 species
AUUGAACGCUGGCGGCAGGCCUAACACAUGCAAGUCGAACGAGUGGCGGACGGGUGAGUAAUGUCUGGGAAACUGCCUGAUGGAGGGGGAUAACUACUGGAAACGGUAGCUAAUACCGCAUACCAUCGGAUGUGCCCAGAUGGGAUUAGAUAGUAGGUGGGGUAACGGCUCACCUAGACGACGAUCCCUACCUGGUCUGAGAGGAUGACCAGCCACACUUGAACUGAGACACGGUCCAGACUCCUACGGGAGGCAGCAGUGGGGAAUAUUGCACAAUUGGCGCAAGCCUGAUGCAGCCAUGCCGCGUGGAUGAAGAAGGCCUUCGGGUUGUAAAGUACUUUCAGCGGGGAGGCGUUACCCGCAGAAGAAGCACCGGCUAACUCCGUGCCAGCAGCCGCGGUAAUUC